UUAGGGAAACGAAAAUCAAAACCACAAUGAGAUAGAUGCCACUUCACACACUCUAGGAUGGCUAUAAUAAAAAAGAUAGGCCAGGCAAGGUGGUUCAUGUCUGUAAUCCCAGCACUUUGGGAGGCUGAGGUGUGUGGAUCACAUGAGGAGUUUGAGAUCAGCCUGGGGAACAUGGUGAAACCCUGUCUCUACAAAAAUACAAAAAUUAGCCAGGCAUGGUGGCGGGCACCUGCUUGGGAGGCUGAAGCAGGAGAAUCCCUUGAGCCGGGAAGGCAGAGGUUGCAGUGAGCCAAGAUCAUGCAACUGUACUCCAGCCUGGCCAACAGAGAAAGACUUGGUCUCAAAAAAAUAAAAUAAAAUAAUAAUAACAAGUGUUGAGGAUGUGAAGAAAUUUGAAUGCUCAUAGAGUGCUGGGAGGAAUAGAAAAUAGUGCAGCCACUUUGGAAAGCAGUCUGGCAAUAUUCAUAAUAGCCAAAAGUGAAAAUAACUCAAUGUCAUUCUCAUUCUAUUCAGCCUUGUACUGGAGGAACUAGCUAAGCUAAUAAAAUAAAAUGAAUAACAAUUAGAAGGAAACAACUACCAAAUAGAAAGCCCCCAAUUCCCAAAUACAUUAAAGAUAGAGCCAAAAGGAAAACUAUAGAUCAAUAUUUCUUAUUAAUAUAGAUGCAGAAAUAAAUUAUUAGUCUAAUCAAGCAGUGCAUUAAAUAAACAUG
rnacentral:lncRNA from 1 species